rnacentral:rRNA from 1 species
UACCAGCACCCCGAGUGGUCGGGACGAUUAUUGGGCCUAAAGCAUCCGUAGCCGGUCCUACAAGUCUUCCGUUAAAUCCACCUGCUCAACAGAUGGGCUGCGGAAGAUACUAUAGGGCUAGGAGGCGGGAGAGGCAAGCGGUACUCAGUGGGUAGGGGUAAAAAUCCUCUGAUCCAUUGAAGACCACCAGCGGCGAAGGCGGCACUCUGGGCUGGAACUGACGCUGAGGAGCGAAAGCGUGGGUAGCAAACAGG